GGCACCCUUCUGAUAUACAUUCACCUUGCCAGCAACCAGAACCCCUGUGUUCCUUUCCCUGGGGCAGCUUUCCAGCCUCUCAUACCCCAUAUCUACAUAUAUGCACAGCAGCCUCAUCCCAGGGUUUCUCUGUUGCUGAGGGAGUGAACCGUUCCUCCCAACCUAGCUGUAGGAGAAGGAUAUUUUAAAUGCAGAGAAUUCAGGAUGUUGUCUCCAUCAAGAAACCAGGAAGGUAAAGGUCAUACCUCCGUCAUUGUCUUGUGGCACACCCACGAAGCUAUGGCAUAUAAGUAGGAUGUGGUUUGAAAUUAAAGCUUCUUUGGCAGAGUGUGAUCUGUUGCCCAUA